rnacentral:rRNA from 1 species
GAUGAACGCUGGCGGCGUGCUUAACACAUGCAAGUCGAACGGAAAGGCCUGCUUUCUCUUGUGGAUUGCGGGUACUCGAGUGGCGAACGGGUGAGUAACACGUGAGUGAUCUGCCCCCAACUUGGGUAUAAGCCUGGGAAAUUGGGUCUAAUUCUCGAUAGGACUGCAGGGUGGUGCCUGUGGUGGCAAACGAUUUUCUAGUGGUUGGGGAUGAGCUCGCGGCCUAUCAGCUUGUUGGUGGGGUAAUGGCCUACCAAGGCGGCGACGGGUAGCCGGCCUGAGAGGGUGGACGGCCACAUUGAGACUGGGAUACGGCCCAGACUCCUACGGGAGGCAGCAGUGGGGAAUAUUGCACAAUGGGCGGGAGCCUGAUGCAGCGACGCCGCGUGGGAGAUGACGGCCUUCGGGUUGUAAACUCCUUUCGACCGCGAGGAAGCCACCUGGUUGGAAGGGUGGUGACGGUAGUGGUAGAAGAAGCACCGGCUAACUACGUG